rnacentral:lncRNA from 1 species
AGUGCGAUAGUGAUAACAAAGAUAAUAAUUUGAUACGAGAUUAGGUAACGUAUUGUUGAGAUUGUGAAACGAAGAUUCUUCUGUCAUAUGCCGAAUUGACAUUUCCUAGAAAGCUACGGAUCGGAGACGACAAAAUGGCUUUGGUUGGUGGUGCCUUCUAAGACACGACCCGCAUCUAGCUAUCACAUGGGAUUGAAGGGCUCUUGACGUUGUUUGUCGGCCUUACACGCUGAGCUGUUAUUAGUUUUGUUGUGGACAAUAUGUAGUACACUGCAUCUCCAUUUUCAGAUCAAAUUGUGUCUACUCCUCCAAAAUAAGUUUUCGUCUUUUCAAAUCAUCUUUUUCAAAUUAUC